rnacentral:rRNA from 1 species
UUAAAUUGAAGAGUUUGAUCAUGGCUCAGAUUGAACGCUGGCGGCAGGCCUAACACAUGCAAGUCGAACGGUAACAGGAAGAAGCUUGCUUCUUUGCUGACGAGUGGCGGACGGGUGAGUAAUGUCUGGGAAACUGCCUGAUGGAGGGGGAUAACUACUGGAAACGGUAGCUAAUACCGCAUAACGUCGCAAGACCAAAGAGGGGGACCUUCGGGCCUCUUGCCAUCGGAUGUGCCCAG